CAGCAGACUGGAUAUACGAGCGUUGUUUACACUUAAGAGAGACUGUGUGAGUGUGUAUAGUGAUGGUUUAGUUUUCGUUUAUAGCUUUCAAAGUAUAGUGGAAUAGUCAAAAUAGAAUUUUGUACUUUUUCCAAUAACUUUCUCAGCCAAGUCGGUGAGUUUAAGCUCGUGAAGUGUAUAUCGAUGCUUCGAAGUGUACCAUGAAUUAUGUGCUCCGCUCGUUUUACAGAGAGAGAGAAAAGAGAGAUGCAGUACUGAGAGAUGAGCAGAGAUUGUACAGAGACAGAUAAAGAAGUGCGAGACGAUACAGCAGGCAGAUUUUACUUCCAAGAACACAGGGCUGAUGCAUGAUCGCGUCAUAGGCAUUUUGGUAUGCGGCGCGCGCUCAAAGGCUCCACGCGAAAGAAGGCGAUGGAGCCCUUUAGCGGCUGAAGGUGUACAUACCCCAGUUGGACAGGACCAAGGGCGGACUGGCGGGCGAUAUUAUCGUCACUAAUCAAUGCGCGUGUCAUGGACUCGGUGGAGUUCAAGCCUGCGUGCUCUUGCUGACGACACAACAGACAAGACACAAUUAACCGCAUUAGCACACUCUCGACACACGGAUCACAUUAUUGAGCUUCAAACGCCACUGUUUAUUGUAAAUAUGCCAAUUAUACGUGAUAUAUUUUUUUUUUUAAUUCUAUUCGUUGUUGGCUUAUUCUCCAAGUGCGCGUCUGUCCGUCUCAUUAGGAUUUUUACUGCGUUACAGGUCGACCAGUCAAAGGGUAAAUAUUGACAUUUGAAAAAAAAAAUUAUACUAAAGCAUUAAAGUAUUCUUUGACUGGUCUAGGACUUAUUAUACCAUAUCCAUUCUAAAUACGAAUUGCCAAACUGGUUAAUGCGUGUAAUUAUUAAUGAUGACACUCAGUCCACUGAGUUUUGGAUUCAUCUCCUACGGUCUUUACGUAAAAGUUACCAAAAGUCAAUGCAUUUUAGACAUUAAUCGUCAAUCGUUAUAUACUCAGGCUGAUUCAACUCAAGGACGGAAUCAAACUCAACUUACAUAAGAGGCUUACAAUACAACAACAAUAUAACAAUAGCAAUGCAUGGCAAUUCUUAUUUAAACAUUAGACAUCUCAUAUUCUGAAAAUAAAUGGACACAAAAAUAUAAGAAUUUUUCAUUAUUUAAAAGAACAACUCUCCUCGUGAUGCCUCGUUACAAAACACCUGGAAUAUCUUAUUUUACUUUAUAUUUACACUCUGUGAAAGGUAAAAUUUCGUUAAGUUUUUGAUCCAACUAUCUUUUCUAAUUAUACGAUCUUUUAUGCUUUUACAUCAUCAGAUCUGACAGGUCGAAUCUGAGAUCUAUUAUGUGAAAUUUGUUCAACUCAUUUUUCGGGAUAGAAAACUCGGCGGUGGCGAAAACUCGUGUGCGAAAAUAAACGUAUUACACAUACAACAGAUAAUUAUGCAACAGGUAUUAUAACAGACAACAGCAGCGAAGCAGCUUGGCACUCAAAUACAAAAAAGCACAAAUUCAGCAGCACAGCCAGUAAUAUUUAAAGGAGCUAUAGAUAAGUGACAUUCAUUUAAAUUCAAUUUUUUGCUAAUACAGAGAGACAUUUAAAACAUUUCUAAAAAUAAGUCAAGGAUGUCAGGCUUGCACUACGACAAUACGUGCUAUGUAACACAAUUACAAAACGUAUAGAAAUUAUCGACAUUUUCAACUGGAAUUUUUUGCUGAUGGAAAAGAUUUUCCAAGCAUUGAGUCGAACUGUCGAAGAUGUCGACAAUUUACCGAUAGUAAAUAUAUACUUGUAUAUCUUAUACAUACCCAUGGCCACACCAUCAUCAUUUGUUAUUCACACGAACACAAGAAGAAUUCGUUUCCAGAAAAACACAACAACAAAAAAACGCGCCGCGAUUCUCGGCGGUGUUAUACAUUGGACCAGAGAAAUAAGCAAAAUAUAUUCUCCGCGGAGAGCUGGAAAAUUUCUCUUCUGCUUUUGUUUUUUUUUUUAACGUCAUCGAAGAAUUGAAAUUUUGCCACUCCCGAGAUGGUCAGUGAUUGCGGAGAAACGCGCGGAACAUAGGCAAACAGAGUGAGCUGCACAAUUCAGUUAUGACAAAAGUCGAUUACAAAAAAAUAACAAAAAAAUUAAAACAAACGAUGUAUUACACGAAAUCGCAUGUAACAGAUAAAUAAAUAUUUAAAAGA